UUGAAUAGAGUAUUUACUCAAGUCCAAAGAGUUUUACAGACGGAAAGAAAAACAGUAAACAGACAACAAGGAAUAUGAAAAGUAUUUGAUUUUCAAGAAUAAAUGCAGAAUCCUGUUUCAAAGGGUUUAUAAGUGAACUUCGCUCAUCAUUUUAAAUGGAAAAUGGAGAUAACUGCUCGAGUACCUCAAUCCCAAUUAGAACGUAUAGUCCUGCACUUACAUGAUGCUAAAUGUUAAGUGAUAAAUGGAUUGACAUGUUGUUUGGGCUAUAUUCAUAGUCGUUACUCAAACUCACACUUGACUCAAACUUGGAUAAGUAUCACUAGUAGACCUUGCGGGAGUGUGAGUGAAGUUCGAAACUCAUAUUCAUAUAUUCCACUCAAUCUUAACUUUCGGAAGGACAGCUCGAGUAAUGGUUUCAGUGUGCACAAUGGAUUUAGCGGAUUAUAACGGUUUAAAUGACAGUAACAUCAAAGUAUGAAUUAACCAGUAUCUAGGCUUAUGAGGUGUAAAUAUUUGUUACUACGACGUGUGUUUCUGGGAGUGACUGAUGAGCGCCGUUAGGCUAGGUUUGGCAGAUGUAUAUUUGAUUCCCUAUAUCUAUUCUAACUGUUUGCAUUAAUUUACUGUCAAUUAAUUUGUUGGGUCUUUUGCGUUUUCGUCGUCCUCAACAACAUGUAUUAAAAAAGAACAUGUUAUAUUAAUAUAUUUUUUCCAAAAUACCUUGCACAAAUAUGACAUUUCGCUCUAAAUACAUACAUGACACUUGAUCUGUCUAGCAAGUUAAUAUGUAGUAUAAACGCGUGGAAGAGUUUAACAUGACACUGUUAUCUUACCUUCAAAUUAAUUAAAUUUUCUAAAUU
rnacentral:lncRNA from 1 species